UACGAAGGGGGGCUAGCGUUGUUCGGAAUUACUGGGCGUAAAGCGCACGUAGGCGGAUAUUUAAGUCAGGGGUGAAAUCCCAGAGCUCAACUCUGGAACUGCCUUUGAUACUGGGUAUCUUGAGUAUGGAAGAGGUAAGUGGAAUUGCGAGUGUAGAGGUGAAAUUCGUAGAUAUUCGCAGGAACACCAGUGGCGAAGGCGGCUUACUGGUCCAUUACUGACGCUGAGGUG
rnacentral:rRNA from 1 species